rnacentral:misc_RNA from 1 species
UUGAAUUUUAAUGAAGAGUUUGGUUGUAGCUGGCCCAUUCAUUUGGGCAUGUGCACACCUUCCUCUUUCAUCCCACACACACCUGUGAACCUGUGAGACAGAGAUGGGGAAUUCACUUGCUGCUUUUUGGAAUACAAAGGCAAUAGGUUAUUGGACCCCCCCUCUGUCCACUCAAUUAAUAUAAACUCAAUUUAUUUUAAAACGAAUGUAAUGGAUGUAACACAUCUCAUAC